GUCCGUGUAACUCAGUGGUAGAGUGUGAGAUUGCAACCUUGGUGCAAAUAAGUGCAAACAAGCAUAAGUCAACAAUCUUGAAGCCGCGUGUUCGAACCACGCCACGGACU
rnacentral:tRNA from 1 species